CGAUUUAAAUUAAUUUAUUUGGAAUAAUUGUGUAAUAUUUGUUUUAUUGUUAGUGUUACUUUCUUAUUUAGUGUGACAAAAUUAUGUGAUUAGAAUAUAUUGUAUUUUUUUUUAUUAAAUGUGUGUGUGCCGAAAUUAUGUGUACCUGUGUGUGGAUUUGUUUUAUUUUUUAUUUCUUUUAAAUUAAGAAGAUAAAAGGGAAACGAAAAAUGAGUUGUCAUCUUUUGGGAUAAGAUGACAAGGCUUAUCUUUUGAAUUGUGUUUACAUGUAGAUCAAGUUUAGGUGAGGUGUAAGGAGAAGAAAUAGUGGGAUUUAUCUUAUUUUGUGGGAUAAGAUUUGAGUUUUUCACACUUGGUUUUUCUUAGGGUUAGGUCACUAGAGUAUUAUAAAUACAAGACAUGUGAGCUUUGGAGAACCAUUUUGGUGGUUUUCCAAUUAUUGAGAGAAAGAGGGAAAGGAGAGCAAAAAAAAAAAAAGAGAGAGAAAGAAGGAGAAGAGGAAAGGGGUUUCAAGAAUCUCUAAUGUAUUUUGAAAUCCUUAGGUACUUAAUGAUUGAUUUGCUUUUUGUUCUUGAACACUACCAUGGAGGUAAGAGCAAGGGAAAGGUCGACCAACCAUGAGUACGAAGAGCGUGGAGCGAUGGGUACAUGUUCGGCCUGCCUGGCCGCCACGGCUAGGGUUAUUUUUGGGGAAAUGUACUGUAAUAGUUAUUUUUUCGCCUAAAUCGACCUUAAAUGUAUUAUAUGAUGUAAAGUAUUUUCUAAACAGAGUUUUUGGGAUCCCAACUGUAUAACUUUUUAUGUUUUCAAUGAAUAACCAAAUGUUUUGAA